rnacentral:rRNA from 1 species
AUGCAGUCGAGGGGUAUAUGUCUUCGGAUAUAGAGACCGGCGCACGGGUGCGUAACGCGUAUGCAAUCUACCUUUCACAGAGGGAUAGCCCAGAGAAAUUUGGAUUAAUACCUCAUAGUAUUAUUGAGUGGCAUCACUUAAUAAUUAAAGUCACAACGGUGAAAGAUGAGCAUGCGUCCCAUUAGCUAGUUGGUAAGGUAACGGCUUACCAAGGCAACGAUGGGUAGGGGUCCUGAGAGGGAGAUCCCCCACACUGGUACUGAGACACGGACCAGACUCCUACGGGAGGCAGCAGUGAGGAAUAUUGGACAAUGGGCGCAAGCCUGAUCCAGCCAUGCCGCGUGCAGGAUGACGGUCCUAUGGAUUGUAAACUGCUUUUGUACGAGAAGAAACACUGCUUCGUGAAGCAGCUUGACGGUAUCGUAAGAAUAAGGAUCGGCUAACUCCGUGCCAGCAGCCGCGGUAAUACGGAGGAUCCAAGCGUUAUCCGGAAUCAUUGGGUUUAAAGGGUCCGUAGGCGGUUUAGGU